UACGAAGGGGGCUAGCGUUGUUCGGAAUUACUGGGCGUAAAGCGCGUGUAGGCGGGCCGUUAAGUCGGGGGUGAAAGCCCAGAGCUCAACUCUGGAACUGCCUUCGAUACUGGCGGCCUGGAGCAUGAUAGAGGCGAGUGGAAUUGCGAGUGUAGAGGUGAAAUUCGUAGAUAUUCGCAGGAACACCAGUGGCGAAGGCGACUCGCUGGAUCAUUGUUGACUCUGAGACGCGAAAGCGUGGGGAGCAAACAGG
rnacentral:rRNA from 1 species